UGACAGUCGAGCGGACUUGAUGAGAAGCUUGCUUCUCUGAUGGUUAGCGGCGGACGGGUGAGUAACACGUAGGCAACCUGCCCUCAAGCUUGGGACAACUACCGGAAACGGUAGCUAAUACCGAAUACUUGCUUCCUUCGCCUGAAGGAAGCUGGAAAGACGGAGCAAUCUGUCACUUGAGGAUGGGCCUGCGGCGCAUUAGCUAGUUGGUGAGGUAACGGCUCACCAAGGCGACGAUGCGUACCCGACCUGAGAGGGUGAUCGGCCACACUGGGACUGAGACACGGCCCAGACUCCUACGGGAGGCAGCAGUAGGGAAUCUUCCGCAAUGGGCGAAAGCCUGACGGAGCAAUGCCGCGUGAGUGAUGAAGGUUUUCGGAUCGUAAAGCUCUGUUGCCAGGGAAGAACGUCCUUGAGAGUAACUGCUCAAGGAGUGACGGUACCUGAGAAGAAAGCCCCGGCUAACUACGUGCCAGCAGCCGCGGUAAUACGUAGGGGGCAAGCGUUGUCCGGAAUUAUUGGGCGUAAAGCGCGCGCAGGCGGUCAUUUAAGUCUGGUGUUUAAUCCCGGGGCUCAACCCCGGAUCGCACUGGAAACUGGAUGACUUGAGUGCAGAAGAGGAGAGUGGAAUUCCACGUGUAGCGGUGAAAUGCGUAGAGAUGUGGAGGAACACCAGUGGCGAAGGCGACUCUCUGGGCUGUAACUGACGCUGAGGCGCGAAAGCGUGGGGAGCAAACGGAUUAGAUACCCUGGUAGUCCACGCCGUAACGAUGAAUGCUAUGUGAU
rnacentral:rRNA from 1 species